rnacentral:rRNA from 1 species
CCUACGGGAGGCAGCAGUAGGGAAUCUUCGGCAAUGGACGAAAGUCUGACCGAGCAACGCCGCGUGAGUGAAGAAGGCCUUCGGAUCGUAAAACUCUGUUGGUAGAGAAGAACGUUGGUGAGAGUGGACAGCUCAUCAAGUGCCGGUAACUACCGUGACAGGGACGGCUAACUACGUGACCGCAGCCGCGGUAAUAGGUAGGUCUCGAGCGUUGUCCGGAUUUAUUGGGCGUAAGGCGAGCGCAGGUGGUUUAUUAAGUCUGGUGUAAAAGGCAGUGGCUCAACCAUUGUAUGCAGUGGAAACUGGUAGACUUGAGUGAAGGAGGGGAGAGUGGAAUUCCAGGUGGAGGGGUGGAAAGCGUAGGUAUAGGGAGGAACACCGGUGGCGAAAGCGGCGCUAUGGCCUGUAACUGACACUGAGGCACGAAAGCGUGGGGAGCAAACAGGAUUAGAUACCCGGGUAGGC